rnacentral:snRNA from 1 species
AGGAUGAAAGGUUUGACUAGAAC